CUCCCAGGAGUUCGAAUUCUCUUACAAACAGGAGCUCCUUGGCUACAUGCUGGACUUCAUUAAAAAGGAACCACUGGAUUCCCUGGCAUCUCCAGUUCGCUACAAGGCAAUUCUUGCCAUUGAACAUCUGAGCAAACUCAAACCAUCUUUGACCUUGGAGGGAAACCGUGAGC